rnacentral:rRNA from 1 species
GUGGGGAAUAUUGGGCAAUGGGGGCAACCCUGACCCAGCAACGCCGCGUGAGGGAAGAAGGUUUUCGGAUUGUAAACCUCUGUCCUAUGGGAAGAAGGAAGUGACGGUACCAUAGGAGGAAGCCCCGGCUAACUACGUGCCAGCAGCCGCGGUAAUACGUAGGGGGCGAGCGUUGUCCGGAAUUACUGGGCGUAAAGGGUGCGCAGGUGGCCUGACAAGUCAGAUGUGAAAUACCGAUGCUUAACGUCGGGGCUGCAUUUGAAACUAUGAGGCUGGAGUGCAGGAGAGGGAAGCGGAAUUCCUAGUGUAGCGGUGAAAUGCAUAGAUAUUAGGAGGAACACCAGUGGCGAAGGCGGCUUUCUGGACUGUAACUGACACUGAGGCACGAAAGCGUGGGGAGCAAACAGGAUUAGAUACCCGAGUAGUCC